UGGGUAACCUACCUAUAAGACUGGGAUAACUUCGGGAAACCGGAGCUAAUACCGGAUAACAUUUGGAACCGCAUGGUUCUAAAGUGAAAGAUGGUUUUGCUAUCACUUAUAGAUGGACCCGCGCCGUAUUAGCUAGUUGGUAAGGUAACGGCUUACCAAGGCGACGAUACGUAGCCGACCUGAGAGGGUGAUCGGCCACACUGGAACUGAGACACGGUCCAGACUCCUACGGGAGGCAGCAGUAGGGAAUCUUCCGCAAUGGGCGAAAGCCUGACGGAGCAACGCCGCGUGAGUGAUGAAGGGUUUCGGCUCGUAAAACUCUGUUAUUAGGGAAGAACAAACGUGUAAGUAACUGUGCACGUCUUGACGGUACCUAAUCAGAAAGCCACGGCUAACUACGUGCCAGCAGCCGCGGUAAUACGUAGGUGGCAAGCGUUAUCCGGAAUUAUUGGGCGUAAAGCGCGCGUAGGCGGUUUCUUAAGUCUGAUGUGAAAGCCCACGGCUCAACCGUGGAGGGUCAUUGGAAACUGGGAAACUUGAGUGCAGAAGAGGAAAGUGGAAUUCCAUGUGUAGCGGUGAAAUGCGCAGAGAUAUGGAGGAACACCAGUGGCGAAGGCGACUUUCUGGUCUGUAACUGACGCUGAUGUGCGAAAGCGUGGGGAUCAAACAGGAUUAGAUACCCUGGUAGUCCACGCCGUA
rnacentral:rRNA from 1 species